rnacentral:rRNA from 1 species
GUCGCGGGAGGCCGACUUACUUUGAAAAAAUUAGAGUGCUCAAAGCAGGCGCCUGAAUAAUGGUGCAUGGAAUGAUGGAAAAGGACCUCGGUUCUAUUUUGUUGGUUUUCGCGAGGUAAUGAUUAAGAGGGACAGACGGAGGCAUUCGUAUUGCGACGCUAGAGGUGAAAUUCUUGGACCGUCGCAAGACGAACUACUGCGAAAGCAUUUGCCGAGAAUGUUUUCAUUAAUCAAGAACGAAAGUUAGAGGUUCGAAGGCGAUCAGAUACCGCCCUAGUUCUAACCAUAAACGAUGCCAACCAGCGAUCCGCCGGAGUUCCUACUAUGACUCGGCGGGCAGCUUCCGGGAAACCAAAGUCUUUGGGUUCCGGGGGAAGUAUGGUUGCAAAGCUGAAACUUAAAGGAAUUGACGGAAGGGCACCACCAGGAGUGGAGCCUGCGGCUUAAUUUGACUCAACACGGGAAAACUCACCCGGCCCGGACACUGGAAGGAUUGACAGAUUGAGAGCUCUUUCUUGAUUCAGUGGGUGGUGGUGCAUGGCCGUUCUUAGUUGGUGGAGCGAUUUGUCUGGUUAAUUCCGAUAACGAACGAGACUCUGGCCUGCUAAAUAGGAGCUGAUC